CAUUCUUUGGCCCAAUGGCCUUUCCUUCUGCAGCUAAAGCAGUCAUCUCCUGGGUUUCUCUGAGGGGUUAUGGGUCCAGAAAAAGGCCGCAAGGCCGGCAGUGGUGGUGAUGAAGGUGGCGGAGGAGUUGAAGGAAAUGGGCUAGUCAAAUCACACUCGGCCAUUUUCUCGGGCAAAAGAGUUCACAGAGUGAUUUGAGUUCAAUG
rnacentral:misc_RNA from 1 species